rnacentral:rRNA from 1 species
UACAGAGACUGCAAGCGUUAUUCGGAUUCACUGGGCGUAAAGGGUGCGCAGGCGGCCGUGUGUGUCAGGUGUGAAAGCCCGGAGCUUAACUCCGGAAUUGCGCCUGAAACUACAUGGCUAGAGCAUUGGAGAGGGAAGUGGAAUUCACGGUGUAGCAGUGAAAUGCGUAGAUAUCGUGAGGAACACCAGAGGCGAAGGCGACUGCCUGGACAAUUGCUGACGCUCCGGCACGAAAGCGUGGGGAGCAAAAGGG